rnacentral:rRNA from 1 species
UACAGAGGUCUCAAGCGUUGUUCGGAAUUACUGGGCGUAAAGGGCUCGUAGGCGGCCAACUAAGUCGGAUGUGAAAUCCCCAAGCUUAACUUGGGAACUGCAUCCGAUACUGGAUGGCUUGAAUCCGGGAGAGGGAUGCAGAAUUCCAGGUGUAGCGGUGAAAUGCGUAGAUAUCUGGAGGAAUACCGGUGGCGAAGGCGGCAUCCUGGACCGGCAUUGACGCUGAGGAGCGAAAGCUAGGGGAGCAAACGGG